GAGAAUGUAGCUCAAGUGGUAGAGCGCAUGCCUGACAUGCACAAGGUCCUGGGUUCAAUGCCCAGUACCUCCU
rnacentral:tRNA from 1 species